UUGUUGGAGAGUUUGAUCCUGGCUCAGGACGAACGCUGGCGGCGUGCUUAACACAUGCAAGUCGAACGAUGAAGCCUUUCGGGGUGGAUUAGUGGCGAACGGGUGAGUAACACGUGGGCAAUCUGCCCUGUACUUUGGGAUAAGCCUGGGAAACUGGGUCUAAUACCGGAUAUGACUGGGCCUCGCAUGGGGUUUGGUGGAAAGCUCCGGCGGUACAGGAUGAGCCCGCGGCCUAUCAGCUUGUUGGUGGGGUAAUGGCCUACCAAGGCGACGACGGGUAGCCGGCCUGAGAGGGUGACCGGCC
rnacentral:rRNA from 1 species